AAGAGAUGAGUACAACUCUUUGCCAGCCACUAUGGAAGAAAGCCAAGAGAAAAACGGCAGUUCCUGCUUUCAAAGAGCUUACUGGCUGGUGGCUGGAAGGAGACGAGUACAAAGAUUGAUAAGUUCUCUGACACAGGCACUCCCUUGCACUGCUCACUUAUCUAAUUAUGUCUGCUUAGAAGUUUCUGUGAUUGAAUCUUGAGACAAUCCAGGUACCUAUGCAAUUUUCUCCCAACAAGAGAUUAUGUGAGUGUACAGUUAAUUUACAACCUAUAUAUGCUCAAGAUAAUGCUAGCCCAUUUACCAGAUUGGACAAUAGCACAUAAUAAAGCACUGAAGCAAGUUACGUGGUCCUGUACCUCCUUGCCCCUCCUGCACAUCCUUCAUACCAAAUUUCACUUUUAACUUGUUGUAUUCUGGCCAAAAAUUUGAAAUGGUUUCUUU
rnacentral:lncRNA from 1 species